GCCAGGCGCAGUGGUGCACGCCUGUAAUCCCAGCAGCUUGGGAGUCUGAGGCAGGAGGAUUACGAGUUCAAAGCCAGCCUCAGCAAUGGCAAGGUGCUAAGCAACUCAGUGAGACUCUGUCUCUA
rnacentral:sRNA from 1 species